CAAUAACAUGUAGCAUGGGAUAAUGGAAUAGGACCCUGUCCUCCUAUUUUCAGUUGGUUUUGGCAGCGCGAGGACUAGGGUAAUGAUUAAUAGGGAUAGUUGGGGGCAUUAAUAUUUAAUUGUCAGAGGUGAAAUUCUUGGAUUUAUGAAAGAUUAACUUCUGCGAAAGCAUCUGCCAAGUAUGUUUUCAUUAAUCAAGAACGAAAGUUAGGGGAUCGAAGACGAUCAGAUACCGUCGUAGUCUUAACCAUAAACGAUGCCGACCAGCGAUUAGGAGACGUUGAAUACAAAACACCACCAUCGGCGCGGUCGUCCUUGGCGUCUCGCGUUCGCGCGCGGCGCGAGGGCGGCUUACCCCGGUGGCACCGGUGAAUGACUCCCCUAGCAGCUUGUGA
rnacentral:rRNA from 1 species